GACGAACGCUGGCGGCGUGCUUAACACAUGCAAGUCGAACGAAGUGGCGAACGGGUGAGUAACGCGUAAUCAACCUGCCCUUCAGAGGGGGACAACAGUUGGAAACGACUGCUAAUACCGCAUACUGAAGGAGGGGAUUGCGUCUGAUUCGCGAGUUGGAGGGGUAACGGGCCACCAAGGCGAGGAUCAGUAGCCUGGUUGGAAGGAUGAACGGGCAAAAUGGGACUUGGACACGGCCCAGACUCCUACGGGAGGCAGCAGUGGGGAAACUUUCGCAAUGGAGGAAAGUCUGAAGGAGCAACGCCGCGGGAGUGAUGACGGCCUUCGGGUUGUAAAGCUCUGUUAAUCGGGACGCGGUACCGGAAGAGAAAGCCACGGCUAACUACGUGCCAGCAGCCGCGGUAAUUC
rnacentral:rRNA from 1 species